GAUGAACGCUAGCGACAGGCUUAACACAUGCAAGUCGGGGGGCAGCACAGGUAGCAAUACCGGGUGGCGACCGGCGCACGGGUGAGUAACGCGUAUGCAACUUACCCAUCAGAGGGGGAUAACCCGGCGAAAGUCGGACUAAUACCGCAUGAAGCAGGGGUCCCGCAUGGGGAUAUUUGCUAAAGAUUCAUCGCUGAUAGAUAGGCAUGCGUUCCAUUAGGCAGUUGGCGGGGUAACGGCCCACCAAACCGACGAUGGAUAGGGGUUCUGAGAGGAAGGUCCCCCACAUUGGUACUGAGACACGGACCAAACUCCUACGGGAGGCAGCAGUGAGGAAUAUUGGUCAAUGGCCGAGAGGCUGAACCAGCCAAGUCGCGUGAGGGAUGAAGGUUCUAUGGAUCGUAAACCUCUUUUAUAAGGGAAUAAAGUGCGGGACGUGUCCCGUUUUGUAUGUACCUUAUGAAUAAGGAUCGGCUAACUCCGUG
rnacentral:rRNA from 1 species